UGACUUUCUGUUCUCUGUGUUUUUCCGUCUAAUUAUGUCUCUUGUUAAGCAGACUCACCUGCCCCCUGUUAAUUAGUCAUGUGAUUUGGUCAGCCAUUUUGUCUAACAGUAUUUAAGCCUGAUCUUUUCACUCCUUCUCGGUUGCGUCUUCACUGAACCCCCGUGAGUAAACCUUAGUCUUGAACUGUGUAUUUUGUAUUUGCUUAUGGCCUUCUUGUAUGUUGACCCUGGACUGUUUCUCUCCUCCGAGUUUUGGAUUACCCUUUGGAUUUGUUUGCUCUCUUUGGAUUGAUAUUGUUGCCAACCUUUGCCUGUCUGUUUACCCUGCCUUUUGGAUUACCCCUUGGAUUAACUGUCAAUGUGCUUUGCCUUUUUGGAUUCUGGGACCAAGUUUGUUUGUGUUUUUGUUUUUGGAUCUUCUGAGCUUUAUUGGACCUAUAUUUGUCUGAGGAAUAAAUACCUUAAACCUUAUCCUGCUUUUGCUUCGCACUUGAGUCACCCUAGCUUUCUGUGUACCAAACCGUGACAGAAGACUCAACCAUGACUGACCCAGCGACGGCAUCUGCAGGAGCCCCUGAUACUACGAGAAUGGCUGCUUCUGACUUUGAAAAGAUCAUGCCAGCUCUUGGUUCCACUAUGGAUACUUGACAGGUACUGGGUCUCCAACAACAGACUCUUGCCUAACAUGACUACCUUCUUCAGCAACUCAAUCAGGCAGCGGGGAGCCCUAGCCCCACUCUACCCGGUGGCCAUGACCCGCCAGACACAGGUGGGCAGCCUUACCCCGCUGAUCCGCUGGCUCCGACUCAACCGGUAGCUCCACCACCUCGUGCAGAACCUCGGCUAUCUGCUCUUCAACGAUACAACGGUAACCCAGGCCAUACGACUGGACAAUCGUCUCUGAGAGUGUAGACGGGACCAGACCAGCGGCCAGCAGCCGAGCUUCCAGAGCCGACCCACAGCUACAACUCCCCUCUGGAACCAACCUGCCCCCACGGACACCGCAGAAUCUAUGCAGAUUGGACGAGCACACCUCUCUCAGGAGGAAAAGGAUCGCAGACGAAGAGAGAAAUUGUGUAAUUAUUGUGGCAAAUCAGGACAUUUCAGAGCCUUUUUUUCCCGACCUCCUGGGAAAAGAUCAACCCCGUCCAGCCGAGGGAGGGCUGUGACAGGGGUCAGUCUUUCUCCUGAGCUCCCAGGUGCAGGAGUCCACCUUUCAGUAACCUUGGCCUGGGGAGGGCUAAGCCACUCCUGUCGGGCAUUAGUAGACUCUGGUGCUGCUGGAAAUUGUAUUGACACUGCCCUUGAGUCCACUUUCUGUUUCUGCUUUAGAUGGCCAACCUAUUGGAGAUGGUAAGGUUACUUCAGCCACCACCCAACUUUGCCUUCAUGUCGGGAACCACAAUGAGUUUUUCCCUGCAUUUCCUGUGGUCCUGGGUUUCCCGUGGCUGAACCGUCACAACCCGCAUAUUGAUUGGUCGACGGGGUCCAUCCUUGAAUUGGGUCCAACUUGCCAUGCCACCUGUCUUCUUUCUAGAAAUUCCCCUGUGUCCAAAUCUCCAGAUCCCUCCGAGCUAAGCAAUGUUCCCACCGAGUAUCUGGAUAUAAAGGAGGUUUUUAGCAAACAAAGGGCCUGCACACUUCCACCCCAUCGGUCCUAUGAUUGUUCCAUAGAACUCUUGUCAGGAUCCAGCCCUUCACAUGGUCGGAUCUUCUCUCUCUCCUUACCGGAAAGGGGAACCAUGGAUGACUACAUCAAGGAUGCCCUCUCCACUGGUUUUAUACGCCCCUCCACUUCCCCUGAUGGUGCAGGUUUUUUCUUUGUGGGGAAGAAAGAUGGUGGUUUGCGUCCUUGUAUAGACUACAGGGGUCUAAACAAAAUCACCAUACGCAACCGAUACCCCCUUCCUUUGAUCUCCACAGCCUUCUAGAAGGGGCCACCAUUUUUUCUAAGUUCGAUCUUCGCAAUGCUUAUCAUCUUGUACGCAUCAGACAAGGUGAUGAGUGGAAAACAGCUUUUAACACCCCCUCUGGACGCUAUGAAGACCAAGUGAUGCCCUUUGGACUGACUCAUGCCCCAGCUGUUUUCCAAGCCCUGAUGAAUGAUGUUUUGCGUGACAUAAUUAAUCAUUUUGUGUUUGUUUAUUUGGAUGACAUUUUGAUUUUUUCCAUUUCUCGAGACAUGAGCACUGCCAACAUGUGCGACAGGUCCUCUAGAGACUUUUAAAGAAUCACUUGUAUGCAAAACCAGAGAAGUGUGAGUUUCAUGUCACUGAGGUGGCCUUCCUAGGGUUCAUCAUCAAACAAGGGCCAGGUUAUGAUGGACUCAAGGAAGACUUUGCCUGUCUGUUUACCCUGCCUUUUGGAUUACACCUUGGAUUUACGGUCAAUAUGCUUUGCCUUUUUGGAUUCUGGGACUGAGUUUGUUAUUGGAUCUUCUGAGCUUUAUUGGAACUAUAUUUGCUUGAGGAAUAAAUACCUUAAAACUACCUUAAAUCCUGCUUUUGCUUUGCAUUUGAGUCACCCUAGCUUUCUGUGUACCAAACCAUGACAGAAAGUAAUUAUUUCUUUAUAUGCCCCGGAUUACACAUGUUUGUGGAUUUAAAUGAUAAUUUUCAAAUAAAGGCUGUAGAGAACACAAUGAGAGACUACAUGUCUCGUAUGUGACGUCACGCUCCCUGUGUCUGGCGUGGACAAGACCGACGAGGUGCCUAAGUUGGCUGGUUAGUCGUCAGGG
ensembl:lncRNA